AAAUAUCGAGCUUCCCAUAAAUGUUUUUGAUGAAAUUGGCAAGGGAAGCAAUACUAGUUGGAUCCAUUACAUCAAGUUGAUGAAACACAGCAUUUUCUGAGAGACCAUAGCCUUUGAGCUUUUCUAGAGCUUCAUUGCCUUUCUUCUCAUCUCUGGCUGUCAAAACCACAAUGACUCCUUUACAUGCCAAUUGCCUACAUAGCUCAAACCCUAUUCCUUUAUUUGCCCCUGUCACCACUGCAUACCUAGAGAAAUAAAAAGAUGAAAACGGUAAGGGCUUGUUAGAUUCACGAUAUUGAAUAUGUCAAAUAAGACUAAACAAUACAGUGGACAUGAUUUUUUUUCCCCUUAAUACUACCUAAUCUUAUCUGGUACACCUAAUCUUAUCUGGUACUGAGUAUCAAAAUUGCCACACAAACCAUUUGGUUAUGAACUCAUUAAUAUUUAUGUUGGGAUGGAAUCUCCAAGAAAGUUACCAAGAUCAACAGAGCGAGCUCAAGCUAUUUGGGUACUGUAGGAAAAACUCUGACACUAACUGUUCUGUUAGUUAGUAGAAAGAGGGAAAAAGGUUCAAAAAUUUGUGGACUUGUAUAAAUAUAGGACCUUAGGCAAUGUCUCACCUGCCUAAGGGUUGAGCCACCCUUAGAUCAGGUCUGUAAAGAUGAUUUCAAGAAAAUUAACGGUUCUCAAUCUAAACUAAUAUCAAUGAAAGAUUAACAGCCGUCAUGGAAAAUUUUCUUUUCUACAGUCUAACACUCUUCUUCACUACUCAAAUAUGAAAACUAAAUAUGCUAAGUAGUUUAAUUGAAAGCAAGUUAAUUUACCUGUUUGAUGACUGGUUGCUCAUUGUUUCUGCACUUUAACUCCUCUCUGCAUAUAUAUAUAUAUAUAUAUAUAUAUGACAUGGGACAGAAUGUUUUUCACAUAAUGAAUGACCGACAAUCGCGUUGGCCGUGGGCCCACCAUUUUUAGGAUUUUUUAUUCAUGCGGGGCCAAGGCGUUGUGAGAUGAAGUCAACGAUUAUGUUAAAUUUUUUUUGGCAAAGUAGUUUAAUUGUUGUUUUGAAAUUAUACUGCCAAAUUAACUUUGAAGUGCGAUCUAUAAACAUAUUUUUAAUCAUAUGUGUACUACAGUCCCACAUUUUUUUUUCUAGAAUGGAGAAAUUCUUAUUAUUUUGAUUAACAUUAUAAGAUUAUUAAUUUAUUUUGAAUAUAAUGAUACCAUUAUCGGUGCACAGAUUUGACAUUUUUAACUUUUAUGAAGGAUUUAACAAGAUACAGUCUUACAAUAAUGAUUAAUGUAUAUUAAGGCCUAUUUGGGCAACAUUAAAAAAAAAAAAAAAAAAUUCAUUGGAAAAUUUUUGAAAAAAAAAAAAAAAAAAAAAAAAAUUCAUUAAAUAGUGAUUUGACAUUAUUUCAACUACACAUUCGUUAAUAAAAAAAAUAUUACAACUAAACUCAAAAAUUUCCCCCCAUUUUUUAGAGAUUUGCUAUAUGUACACUAGAGUUUAACCCCCUCACAUGAGAGGGAGUCCACGGAUUUUUUAAUCACUGUGGGCCCCCCACGUGAGGGGGCUGUACACUCUAGUAUACAAGUGGAAUUUCCUCAUUUUUUUAACAAAACAUUCUUUAUCAAUUUACUAUUCUAAAAUAUAUUCUUUCAAAAUAAUGUGACUCAAACACAUACUAAGAGCCCGUUUGGUAGCUAUUUUGUUCAAAAUGCAUUUUUCUCUCUCUUCUUUUCAACCACACAUUCUUUAUUAAAAUAAUAUUACACGUAAAUAAAAAAAAUUCUUAUUUUUCAACUACACAUUUCACAUCAAUUUACUAUUGUAAAAUACAUUUUUACAUAAAAAUACCUAUCAAACACUCCCUAAGUCUUCAUUGCUUACAUUGUAGGAAGUCUUCCGUUAACAUUGUAAAUUUUGCACAUGUUUGGUGUAGCUAAAAAAAUUAAUAAAAAUCAACAAUUAAUUUUAAUCAUAUAUUCAUGAAACUCAUAGUUUUUAUCAACUUUUCAAUUACAUAUUUCGUCAACUUUUAUCAAAAUUUAGAUUUUUUAAUUAUGGGUUUGUAUUCAAUUUUGAAGAUUUUGAUGGGCUUUUUUUUAAGUGAUGACUUCUAUGGAUUUCGUGGAUCUUAUAUAGAUUUGUAUAGAAUUAGUAGGAGUCUUUCGUUGGCUUCUAAGGACUUUUAUUUUAAAAUUUUUAAAGACUUUGUAGAAUUCGAAAAACUUUUGAAGACUUUCAUUUGAAAAUAGAAUUCACGUAGAUCUAGUACAAUGGCAUGAAAUCUUCACAUACGAGGUGUUGGUUCCCACAAUUCCCCCGUUCCUUCCCAAUCUUCUUCCCAUAUAAUUAAAAAAAAAAUUAAAAGAAUAAAAAUUUAAGAUCUUAAUUAAAUAAAUAAUAACCAAAAUCUUACAUAUAUAUGAUAAAUAAUAAAUUUAAUAUUCAAUAUUAUUAAUAUAAUAUACUUUUAAAAAUAAAUAAAAAUAAAAAUAUUUAAAUUUAAUUAUAAAUUUUUAUAAUUUAAUUAAAAAAUAUAUAUUUUUCAAACAAAAUGAAUGAAAAAAAGUUAAAGAAUCCAAUUUAAUUUUUUUAAUAGAAUAUAGAAAUUAAAAAUAAGAAAGAGAGAAAGAAAGAUAAAUGGAAAUAAAUAUAAUCAAUAAAAUUUUUUUUUAAUCAUACCUCUAAUGUUCAUAGAAGGAAAAGGCCAAGAAAAACAAAAAAAACAAAAAUUUUUUUUUUUUUUUUUUGGUGAAAGUCUUCCAAAAUCUCGUGACUAAUGAUAGACGAAUUUUGAGAUUUUAUAUGAAUACUUUCUGUUUAAAAGUUAGUUCUUCAGAGACUUUUAUAAAAGUUUCCAAAAGUUAUUAAAAUUUGAAUACUCCAAAACUUAUAGAAACUUCUAAAAAGUCUUAAUUAAAUACACCUUAACUUUUAGAGUAUAUAAAAGUCUCAAUUAAAUACAUCGAUUGUUUUAGAGAGUCUUGAAAAGUUUAUAUUGAAUACCCCUAAACUUUUUAAAUCCCAAAAAAUCAUAAAACGUCUCAAUUGAAUACACUCCUUUAAAAAUCUAAGGAAUUGAAGUGGUCACGACAAUAUUACAGCUCUAAAGAACCUUCUUUCUAAUAAAUACAGGGAGUUGGAGAUAUCAACUGGCACAUGAUAAUUUCUAUGUGCAUGAUGAAAGGUAUUUUCCAUUGCAUUAGUGUCCUCACUGCAGCCUCAAUAAUUAUUAUUAUUAUUAUUUCAUUUUUAGAUAUUCGUCUCCGAUUUUUGGUGGAAAUUAAUUUGAUGUUCUUCAAUUAUAAUUUAUUAAAGUAAUGUGAGUGCAAUUUUUUACAGUUGUUAAUCUUUUUUAUUUAAUUAGCUAUAGAUCGACAUCGAAAGUAGUGAAAUACUCUCAACUUUCAAAUUUAAGCAAACAUGACCAGGUCAUAUUUGGUAUUUUUCAUAAAAAAUUGUAAGUGUGUGAUGCCAAAUAAACAAGUAGUAUAGUAGGUCUAAAGAGCCCGAAUUAUCAUAUUAAUUAAGGAACAUAAUUAGAUAUUAUCUAUUAUUCAAUUUUAUAUGACACCAACUGUAAGUUGUUUGGAUUUUGCAUUCAUCUAAUUUCCUUUGCUCGACAAAUUCUUCCGAGGGAAGUUGGGAGAAAUGAAUUGAUGUACUUAUCGAGUGCUUGAGAAAACGGGAAAGAAAGUUGAGUGUAGUUUUAAGUUAGUGGCUCCUAUCCUAAUUCAUGUCUUACAGAUAUGAAUCAUUAGAUCAGAGUUCAGUGUCUUCAAAUACGUAAAAAUAAAUUAUCCGUCUCUUACUUUUCAGCCUUACUAAGAAUAUAUAGAAGAGAUUUAGCUUGUUUUGUAGCCAUAUUGUGUACAUAAUAGCAUCAACAAUACAAUUUACAAAAUUUCAAGUUAAGAAGAUAAAAGGUGUAAUGAAUUUACAAUGAAAUUUAUUGCAAUUUUGGCAACCAAAUAACUGUUGGGGAUUGAUUAAAAACCAAAAGAAAAAAAAAGAAUAUCGAAUACUCGAAAUUAUACGUAAUAUAGUGUUGCCGCACUUUUUUAUGAUUGUAGAAGAGAAGAUAUUAUAUUGUAAAUUUUUGUGACUUCGAUACUUUUAAUGGCUUGAGUUACAUGGGUAUUCAUAGAUAAGAUUUAACAUGUAUCUAGCCUAACUCAUGAACCAACAUUGAAUAGAUACGUUUCUCCUCCUCUACUACAUUAAUGGACAAAUACAUGUAUAAUUAUAAUUCAUGAAUCUAGAUAAUAAUUGCAAAUUACGUUUCCAACACCCCCUCUUAAUUUGCAAUUUUGAGAAUGUCUCUUACCUUUUGAAAUUUCUCGACAUAGAUCGCCUUGGUUAGAAAGUCUGCGGGUUGCUCAUUCGUUCCAAUGAAUUCCAAGCAGAUUUCACCAUUACUCACCAUAUCUCGGAUGAAAUGAUGUCGCAAUUCAAUGUGUUUUGUUCUCGAAUGAAACACCGGAUUUUUUGUCAUGGCUAUCGUAGACAUAUUGUCACAAUAAAUUACUGUGGGCUAUUUUUGAACUUGUUUCAAAUCUGCUAGUAAUCGUCUCAACCAAAUAGCUUCGCAAGUUGCAUCUGUAACAGCAAUAUACUCAGCUUCUGCGAAUGAUAACGCUACUGUUUUUUGCUUCUUUGAACUCCAUGAAACAACAUUAGUUCCGAGACAAAAUAAAUAACUUGAAGUGCUUUUUCUAUCAUCCAACGAACCUCCCCAAUCACUGUCGCUAUAUCCAAUCAACUUUCUCUCAUUUUCUUUUACAUAUUUGAUGCCUAUUUUCUUUACUCCUUGCAAGUAUCUCACGACUCUUUUAGCUGCUGCAAAAUGAAGUUGACUUGGUUCAUUCAUGAACCUUGAAAUCAUGCUCACGGCUUGAACAAUAUCCGGCCUUGUGUUUGUGAGAUAAAUCAGUGAACCAACAAGACUCCUAAACAGUUUUGCAUCUAUUUUUUUGCUCCGUCAUCUUUUCUCAACUUAUCGUUCGCUGCCAUAGGAGUUGAAAUUGAUUUGCAAUUUUCCAUAUGAAAUUUCUUCAGAAGAUCUUCUGUGUAUUUCUCUUGAGAAAUAAAGAUUUCUCCUUUGGACUGCUUCAUUUGUAUUCCAAGAAAAUACUUUAUGACUCCUAAAUCAGUCAUCUCAAAUUCAUUCAUCAAUUUUUCUUGAAAUCCUCGACUAACUUAUAUUGGUGCUAGUGUAGAUAAGAUCAUCUACGUAGAUGCACACAAUCAAGAAAUCAUGAUCUUGCUUCUUCACAUAGAGAGAGGGCUUAUUAGGACUUCGAUGAAAUCCAUUCUUGAGAAAAUAGCCAUCAAUAUUGCUAUUCCAAGUUCUUGGAGCUUGCUUCAGUCCGUAAAGUGCUUUCUUGAGGCGAUACACUUUAUCUUCUUUCCUGUUCACUCCAAAUCCUUCAGGUUGUUGUACAUAAACUUCUUCUUCAAGCUCUCCAUUAAGGAAAGCUGAUUUGACAUCAAGUUGGAAUACCUGAAGCUCCAACUGCGCUGCAAGAGCAAGAACAACUCUGAUAGUUUUCAUUCUAACAACCGGUGAGAACGUCUCAUUGAAAUCAAUUCUCGGUUGUUGAGAAUAUCCCUUCGCUACAAACCUAGCCUUGUGUUUUUGUAUGCUUCCAUGUUCAUUAUACUUUGUUUUGAAAAUCCAUUUCAGUCCUAUAACAUCUUUGUGUUUCGGCAUAUCCACCAAUUCCCAAGUUUUAUUUUUUUCUAUCAUGGCAAUCUCCUCUUGCAUAGCUUUCUCCAUGUUUCUUCCUUCACUGCGACUUCAAAACUUUGAGGUUCACAGGUAAAAAGAGCAAAUUCAGAUGUCUCAAGAAUUUCUCUCAAGGAUCGAGUCUUUUUAAUCGGUGAUCGAAACUUGAACUUUCAUCUCGAACUGGCGAUCUUGGUGGGCGAGGAUUUGGACUUUGAGGUGGACUAACAUGACUGAGUUCAUCCUCAAAAUUUGAUGCAUCGUAGAACUCCUCUUGAGAUAUCAAUUUGGACGAAUUUCCUUCCCAGCUCCAUGAUCCCAUUUCAUCAAAAAUAACAUCUCUUGAAACCACAAGCUUGCAAGUUAUAGGAUUGUAAAGGCGAUAACCUUUUGACUCAUCACUAUAGCCAAUGAAAAUAAGCUUCUUACUUUUUUCAUCAAAUUUAUCUCUAUUUGGAGUAGAGAUAUGAGAAUAUGCAAUGCUGCCAAAAAUCUUCAAGUGAUCAACUACGGGCUUUUUCUUGUGCCAAGCUUCAAACGGUGUUCGGUUUCGAACGGCCUUUGUUGGGCAUCGAUUCAGAAUAUAAAUAGUUGUGUGUAUCGCUUCCGCCCAAAAUAUUUUGGGUAGACUUUUGCCGAUCAUCAUGCUUCUAGCCAUUUCAACAAUGGUGCGAUUUUUUUUCGCUCGGCUAUCCCGUUUUGUUGAGGGCUCCUCCGAAUAGUGAGCUGCCUCUGAAUACCAUCAUCUUUGCAAUACUCCAUAAACGGAGUGUAAAUAAACUCUCCUCCACGAUCUGUCCGAAGGGUUUUGAUUUGAUGACUAGAUUGUUUUUCCGCUAGAGCUUUGAAUUUAAGAAAUGCGGAAAAAGUCUCGGACUUUUCAUUUAGAAAAUAAACCCACAUCAUCCUUGUAUGGUCAUCGACAAAUAAAAUGAAAUACCUUUUGUUUCCAAGAGAGAGAGUCCUCGAAGGACCCCAAAUAUCCGUAUGAAUAACCUCCAAAGUUUCUCUAGCUCUCCAAGAUGUUUUCGGAAAGGGAAGUCGAUGCAUUUUGCCAUAUAUGCAUCCUCACAAACUUGAGUUUUUGCUUCAAUUUCUGAAAGUCCAAUCACCAUAUUCUUUUGCUUGAGAAGUUGCAGCCCUUUGAUAUUAAGAUGUCCGUAUCUCAAAUGCCAAAGUUGAGAUUGAUCAAAAUUUUCACCUGUGAAGGCCACCUUUUCUUGAAGAGGCAUAUUCAUGGGAAACACCUUAUUGGAGCUCAUAGGAACUGUGGCGAUGGUAGAAUUGCUUUUCUUGUCAAAUAUUCUACAUUUUUCAUCUUAAAAAAAAAAAAAGAAUAUCCUUUGCGUAGCAGUUGUCCAACACUAAGGAGGUUACUAGUCAAAUUAGGCACAUAAAGAACAUCACCAAUGAGCUUUUGGUUACCUCCUUUAGUUUGAACAGCGAUAGUUCCCUUUCCUUCAGUGCGAUGUAACUUUCCAUCACCAAGCUUCACUUCUGAAUUGAAAUUCUCAUCAAGAUCAAUGAAAUUUUUUUUUUAUUUCCAGUCAUGUGACUGCUGCAGCCGCUGUCUAGGUACCACACAUUUUUUGAUUGUUGUUGAGCUGUCAUACAAGAGAAAAGUUGUUCAUCUUCAUCUUUGGAAAAGUUUGCUUCAUCCUUCUUAUCUUUGUUCUGGUAAUAACAAUCUCUUUGAGAGUGGUUAGGAUUUCUGCAUCUCUUGCAUUUGUAGAAGCAAUCAUUUGUUUCAUGAUUUGAUUUUCUGCAAAUUUUGCAAAAAAUAUUUGCAUUUCCAACUUGACGAUUUGGAUUUCCGUCAUAGUUUUUUGAUUGGUUGCCUUGUGCUCUUCCUUUUCCUCUUUCUCGAAAUGAUCCUCCUCGUCCUCGUGAUGAUUCUUCUCUUCCUUGGAAAGAACCUCCUCUUCCUUGGGAAGAUACUCUUCUGCUUUCUUGCCGCUGUUUAGAAUUUGAAUUAUAAAAUUUCAUUUUGGACUCAAAUGCUUGCUCAAGUGGCUGAUUUGAGAACCUGCCAAUUCUUUCUUCAUGUACUUGCAAGGAACUCAUCAAAUUGUUAAAAGUAUAUUUAGACAAAUCUUUUGAUUCUUCAAUAGCGGCGACAAUAUAAUCAUAUUUCGCGGGAAGGCUUCGAAGGACCUUUUGAACAACUUUUUUUCUUCAAUUGUGUCGCCAAGGCUUCUAAUUUGAUUUACUAUUUCUGAGACUCGAGUUAGAUAGAAUUGCAUAACUUCAUUAUAUUUUUUUGAUAAAUUGUCGAACUCCCUCCAAAGAGAUUGAAGCUUUAGAGAUGUCACCUUGUCAUUGCCAUGAAAUCCCUCAUUUAAGAUAUUCCAAGCUUGCUUGGCUCUUUUGACACCGUGAAUUCGAGGAUAUAUGGUCUUACUUAAUCCUUGUUGUAUAAAUCUAAGAGCACUUGCAUCUUUAUUAAAUUUUUCUUGUAAUCUUUUUGUUGAGCCUCCGUCCAUUCUUCUUCUUCUUAUUCUUCUUCUUCAUUAUCAUCAGGUUCCGAAAAUCCAUCUUCAACAACUUCCCACAAAUCUUGCGAAAUGAAGAGUGUCUCCAUUUGACUACUCCAAUAAUCAAAAUGCUCUCCUUCAAAUAUGGGAACUUGGUUAGGAGUAUAGGAAAACAUGGAUGUAGAAACAUGAUUUGCUGCCAUGCUUUGGAGAGGGGAAAUAAAAUUUGAGAUACGUAUAGAGAACUAAGCUCUGAUACCAAAAAUUUGUUGGGGAUUGAUUAAAAACCGAAUGAAAAAAAAAAAAGAAUAUCGAAUGCUCGAAAUUAUAAGUAAUAUAGUGCUGCUGCACUUUUUUAUGAUUGUAUAAGAGAAGAUAUUAUAUUGUAAAUUUUUGUGACUUCGAUACUUUUAAUGGCUUGAGUUACAUGGGUAUUUAUAGAUAAGAUUUAACAUGUAUCUAGCCUAACUCAUGAACCAACAUUGAAUAGAUACGUUUCUCCUCCUCUAGUAUAUUAAUGUACAAAUGCAUGUAUAAUUAUAAUUCAUGAAUCUAGAUAAUAAUUGCAAAUUACGUUUCCAACAAUAACCAACAAGAAAUAGGAAAAAAGCGGUGGUUACAAAUAUGCAUCAGUACUCCAUCUUUACAAUUGCCAACAAAAACAAAAAUUCCACCAAAAAUUGUUCUACCUUCUCAAAUUCUGGAAGGUCAUAAUUUUUAAACUGCAGAUGAAAGACUUUUUCAUAAUCUUUUUAGUUAAAGAGCUAAAUUCUCAUGCCUAAUCAGUAAUUGUACAAGAACUAAAUGAAUAAUAAUGAAACUUGAACUCCAGAUUGAUGGCAAGCUGAAUGUUCUAUCAUGUCGUGUUGAACAAUUGUUAGCAAGAGAGGAAAUGCCAGUAAGCACUUCUCAAAAUCAUUUCUCAAGGAAGUAGCCACAGCAUAUCCAGUUUCAUAAACUAAGACACUGCAUACCAUCGAGCUUUCUAAUCUAAUUCUUGAAUUCUGUGAGCUUCAUUGUUGAUAAUAACCCUUGUUUUGUCUGGUUCUGUAUUAGGAGUUUCAAUCUUUUUUAUUUGAAUCAGCAGAAUUGAUGACAAACGCGGUUUGAUAUUUGCAGAUCUGGUGCUAGAUUCGAUUUAGGAGCGAAAUGUGUUCUCUCGUGUAAUAUGGAUUUGCUUUUGUUGUGCGUAUUGUCGGAUUUUAGCAUUUUUUCUUUAAGUGCAUUUCACCUUUCUUUUCAGUUGUGAGUAUAUUCUCAAAUAUUUAAGUUGAGAUUUUCCAUGGCUAAUUGAAGAUCUAAUAUGAUUAUGCUUAAUCCUUUAAUAAAUAUUGUCUUAUCUAAUGUUAUAGUCUGCACCAAUUUGAUCGAGUUUAAUUAUGUUCUUUGUGCUGCAGGCAAUUGGAAAGGCUAGCUGCAAUCUCUCUUCCAAAAUUGGUUGAUACUGCUCUCAUGGCUGCAAUCAGUUUUUCUUGGAUGGAAAUAAGAGAUCUCCUUCUAGAGUUGAGUGAAUGUCAUUUUCAUUUUAGCAUAUGACCAUGAAGAGGAAUGUUUACAGCCAUUGUUUCUACAUUUAUUUCAUGACCGGGGAGUCCUUUUCAGAGGACAAAAUUAAUCUAGUGGAAUAUAAACAAAUUUCACUUAAAAAGUUAAACUUUUAUAUAUACGCCAAAAGUUAAGAAAGAGAACAUGAUCAUUAAAUCAUCUCUAGGCCUUAAAAUUUUUUUGGGAAGUUUAGUUUAACUAAAAAACAGUGUAGUGAUUUAUUUAUUUAUUUAUUUUUAUCAUUUUUUUUUGGCUAGAGUAUGAUGAGACUCGAAUUUUGUUUUGUCCUGUCUGAAAAGUUCACGGUGCGACAUUUGUAGUUAGACUAAAAUUAUGAAAAAAGGGUGUUUAUGGUUGUAUGGACCUAUUCUAUUAGGACUCCAUUAUAUGAUGUUAGAAUUUUACUUGAUUAUAUAUAUUUAGAGUAGUCACAUCUCUUGUACUUAUCUUUGAUAUAGUGAAUUUUUUUCUCCUUUGCCUAUAUUUUUUUCGUCUUAGGUUUUUACGUAAAUCUUGUAUUCUUAUUCUUAUUUUAUAUAUUACCAAUUCCCCUUUUUUGUAAUGUUAACCCCCUUUCUUGUAAUUGUUACGUGGACAAUAGAUGUCGGGUCUACACAAGCAAAUUCCAACACAUUUUGAUCAGAAAUCUGGACUUAAAUGGGUAGAGUUUAUGAACGUGGGAAUGCCUUAUGAUACGAGACAAAAAUAUUCAAGCACCGACAAUGUGAUCAAAGAUGAUUGCAUAUGAACAAACAUUCAUAAAUAACUCAGCCCAAAAUGGAAACAAACUAAACUCCAGCAAAUAAAUAUGAAAUAAACAAGAGAGGAGGUUGAGUGUGGUUUUAAGUAUAUAUAGUUGCAUUAAGGACAAAUGUCACAAGAGUUACUUAUUCAGGGGCGGAUCCACAUUGGGUCAUGUGGGAGUCAAAUGACCUCACAUUAUUUUUUUUUGGCUGAAAAGUUAAUUUUCUGCCCCAAAAAGUCCAAAUUUUAAAUCUAUAUCUAUAUCACAUGGUUCAUAUCCAUUAUUUAGUCCAUAGAUAUAUCAUACAAUCCACCAAUUUCUUCCCAAAGUGCAAACACCGAACAUGAACAACAAACAACCUAUUUUUCCUUUUUGCUCAUGAUAUGUUGUUAGAAAAAAAAUAUUUUGACCCCACAGUUCGAACUAUAUGGGUCCGCCCCUGUGCUUAUUUAUAGAGUUCCAGCUAAGAAUCAUGUGGCGUCAUCUCCCAGGUCAAAGUCUCACAUCACUUACUAUUACGCAUUUUAUACAUUGAUAACGGGUUAGCUACCCUAUAUUUCUAAGUUGACAAUCCUGACAUUCAUUAUUACAAACGUUAUAUCAAUCGUUCCAAAAAAUCGUGUGCAGGUCCUCUAAAAGACAACAAGGGCUUCAACCAAAAGGAGCUUUGGAUGUAACGAGGCCUUCAGCUGAUCCAAAGAGAGUUUCGGAUGAAGCGAAUGCUUCAGCUAAAAGGGUGCAUCAACCUCUUCUUUGACUUUCAUCUCCACGCUCCACGUGGACUAUGAUGUGGUCUUCAAUUGGAGUAUUGGUGACGAGGCAUAACAUGUAACAUUUUUAAUAAUUCACAAUUGAUUCAUUAUCAUGGAUUUGAAAUCCUAAAUGCCUUGUGUAAAAUCUGUGGGUAAUGGCAAUGUGGACAGCGACUUCCAUGUCCGAAAGAAUGUUUUGAGUCAUUAGAGGUUCUUCUAUGUUUUCGUUUUGGUUUUUCAGUUUGUAUAUGAUUUCUCAACGUUAGAAUGUUUGAAAUCCUUUAUUUAAACAUGCUUGCCGUCUCUUUUUCUUUUCACAUUUUAAGUUCUUUUUUAUCGAUUAUAACGUCUCCAAAAAAGUAAGCAUUUACGUUUCAAUUAUUGUUAUGUACGUUUUCUAGGUUCUGAAAUUCUAGAAGAUACUAUUCAUUUUAGGGAAAUUUUGAACAAACAUAUAGUGACGAGAAGUAUGACUAGAGAAAUGAAGUGUAGUUAGCUAACUUUUCAUUAUACUCCCUAUUUUCAGGCACGAUAAGUUUAUGCUUCUUUUUUCCCUUUUCUUUUUUUUUAUUGUAUUAUGUUUUGAGCAUUAAUAAAAUAUGUCACCUGUGUUGUGGUUUAUUAAAAAAAAAAAAAAAAAAUUUAUCUUUCUUGCGCAGUUCACCUGAAUAAUACCGUCAAUAAAUAAGGUUAAGGAAAAAAAUAUGUAGCGCAAAGGUUGAAGACCAAAUGACUACACCUACUAUUUUCCCUAUUAAUUAUCUAGGUGCUGCAGAUGUAAACAUAUUUUCGACCUUAAAUUCUUUAUUAUAUUGAAGUUCAAUAAGAUGAGAAUCCUUGUAUGGACAAUUUUCUAGACUAUUCCAACUGCGCCCAUAUUCAUAAAUUUAUGGACUGAGUACAACCCCCACACAUGUGUGGGUGGUGGGGGGGCGGCGCACUCAAUAGAAAAACCGCGGGCCCCCCACAUGUGAGGGGGCUAUCAUCCGAGCUCCUUUCUAGACUAUUCCAAUUGCGCUCCCAAUUCAUAAAUUUAUGGAGUGAGUACAACCCCUUCACAUGGGGGGGGGGGCGCUCAAUAAAAAAAUCGUGGGCCCCCCACGUGUGAGGGGGCUAUCAUCCAAGCUCACAGCUCGAAUGUACAAGCAUCAGUUCCCUAAAUUUAUUGAAUUACUUUACUAACCUAUUCAAUUCCUAAGUAAAAGAUUCAACUAUAACGAUUGACUUCAAAUUCAAUGUAUUCAGCAAAGAUGGAUUUAGGGGGCUGAGCUGUAUUCUCCCCUCGCCCACUCAACCCAGGAACAUUUUUUUAAGGUAUUUUUUUUAUUUUGGUAAAAAAUCAAUUUUUUAUGUGUAAAUUUUUUUCCCCGGCGUAAUAGCCUAGUUUAAAAUUUUAUAGCCAGUCUUGGGUCUAAUCCUGAAUCCGUCCUUGGUAUUCAGUGAUAAUGAUAUAUUUUACCACGUCUUUGAUGCACAUAAUGUACUGUUUUCCAUAAGUAUACAGUGCUUUGUUACAAUAAUGUAUUAGAUAUUGCAUACAUUGUAUGAAGUCUUCUAUUAACAUUGGAAAAGCUUAUAAGCCUAUAUCAAUUGGCUAUAGAAGUUGUGUACAAGAUAGCUGAAAGAAAGAAUUUUCUUCAGUGUUUUCUUGUAUUUUAAGUAGAUUGUCUUAAGUUGUGCGUCCUUGGUGAAGAGCAAAACAAUUGUGAAGAGAGUUUUAUACCUUCACAAUGUCAAAGAAUGUGAAAAACGACCAAAAGGAGGUGUCUACCCUAUUUCAGGACCCCCAUAUAUAUAUAUAUAUCCAUUUUUUUGGGGGGACGGGGAGGGGGGGGGGAGGGAUUUUGCUUAGUAAUUAUUGAUGGAUCAAAAAGUUAUUUGGAUUUUGAUCUACUCUGAUUAUGACUCCCAUUGGAGCCACGUUCCAUUGAUCUCCCUCUCAUCAUCGUCAAAGCUUCCGCCUAAUAUGAAUUUGUCAUUCUAUCCUCCUAGUUCUUGCACCGACUUUCUUCUUCAAGAAAUUUAGCUGCAACAUCAAAGACUAGACUUUCAAGGUUAUUAGUUGAGUUGAUGAUGAGUUGAUCAUACGAAUCUGAUAGACUUUGAAGUAAGAUCUUAGCAUGUUCGCAUAUCUCUAUAUUAUGCCCCAUUGAUGUGACCUGUGAAAAUAUAGCGCCAAUGGUGUUGAUGUGGUCAAUCAUUGCAGUUGACUCUAGCAUCCAAGGGGUGUAAAGCUUUCUUUUCAAGAAGAUUUUGUAAAGCUUCAUAAGUGUAUCCCACAUUUCUUUAAUAGUUCCGUCACACUUGACAAUACUCCAUCAACUAGUGUUAGGUGCAGAUUAACAAUUACAUUGUCAUCCAUCUCAUUCCACUAGCCAUCGUCAGUGAUCUCCACGGGCCUUUGUCUAAUUGUCGCCAAGCAAUUAUUUUUUUUCAAAACUAUUUUUAUGCUCAUUUUUCACAAUGAGAAAUUGUUCCCAUUGAACUUUUCAAUCUCAUAAUCUCUCAUAAUUUUGCCACCAUUUUGUUCACCAAUACUAUGACUGAAAACAGUAAUGUGUAUGUAAAUAUUGAACAACCCUACACAAAAUCCUUAUUUUGACACCGUUGUUAAGAAAACGUGGGUCAUGUUUGGCUUAUACAAAAAUGGAUUAGAGAAAAAUACAGCUAAAAAUGGACACAGAGAUAUUAAGUGGUUCACCCAAUUUACACUACACUCAGGGCCGGUCCUGUGAUAAUGGAGGCCCGAGGCGAGGUCCAUAAAUUGAGCCCCCGAACGAAAUCAACGUAAAAAUUUACGUAAAAAUCUAAUAACAUUUUCAAUUAUGUACGCAAAAAUUUGAGCAUUACAAGUUUACGAAAACAAUACAAAAUUAAAAUAACAUCCAAAAUCCAAAACUAUCCCCAAAAAAAAAAAAAAAAAAAAAUUUGAAGCAAAAUUGGGCCCCCUAAGGGUUUUGGGCCUGGGCCUGAGGCUGAGGCAUUUGACCAGCCCUGACUACACUCACGAGCAAGUAUGGGAGGAUUUCCUAUAGUUGGAGCAUUAUAAUAACACUCUCUAAAUACAAUGAGAUAAUAAUAAUUGAUUUAUCUGUCUUUCUACUAUUUUUCUCUCUGCUAAUCUCACUCAAAGAUUACAACUUCGACAAUGAAAUUUUAAUUGGAGAAAUAAUAACCUAUUUUUCUCUCUGCUAAUCUCACUAAAAGAUCUUAUUUAUUUAUUUCCUAACUGAUUCAUAAUCCCAUUAAAUUACAUUUAAUUUUUCUCUCUUAUAUUUUCAAUUAUACCAUUUUUAAAAAAAUAAUAUUAUACGUAAAUUAAAAAUUUUUCAUUCUUUUUCAAUCACCCAUUUUUCAAAAAUACUGUUUCACCGAUUUUCAUUUUCAAAAAUUGAGGGCCAAAUAGGGACUUAGUAGUAUGAACAAGAAACGUUUAUGUUACCAUCUUCAUUUCUGCAUGGUAUAAAUUUUAAUUCCUCUUGACAUUGUAGUUUCUAUGAAACUUAAUGAUUCAAAGAAAAAACUACCAGUUAUGUCAAACUAGGUAGCAUCACUUCUCUUUAAAGUUACGCCUAAAAAUAAAAAUAAAAACUUCCCAACUGCUUUAGUCGAUCAUUUCUUAUCUUACCUAUUCUACCGUGGACCACACAUCCAUUAGAAUAUCCUCAUUUGCCGCUUCCAAACUUUCUAGUUUUAUGGAAACAUAUUAACGAUUUGCAUCGAAAAACUCGAAUUAUAAACUGACGUGAGUGCCAUAAUCUAUGAGAAAAAUGAUAUAUCUCCUUGCCUACAUAGAACUUUUCAUGUAUUGACAUGUUCAACAACAAUAUUAAAAAAAAAAAAAAAAAAGGAGUCAAAAUCUAGUCAAUGUUACUUUUAGUCUACCUGUCCCUAUUUUGACGUUUUCUCCCGCAAUCUUAUCAUUCUUAUAGAGAAGAUUAACCAAUAAACAAAAAAUUCGGCCAAAAAAUCGAUAAAAUUUUAGAAAAUAAAAACGUUAAAAAAAGAAGAAGAAUUCUACCAAAUAUCAAGCUUCUCAUAAAUGUUUGUUAUGAAAUUGGCAAGGGCAGCAAUACUAGUUGGAUCCAUUACAGCAAGUUGAUGAAACACAACUUUUUCCGAGAGACCAGAGCCUUUGAGUUUUCUAGAGCUUCAUUGCCUCUCUUGCUAUCUCUGGCUGUCAAACCCGCCAUGUCUCCAUUACAUGCCAACUGCCUACAUAGCUCAAACCCUAUUCCUUUAUUUUCCCC
rnacentral:lncRNA from 1 species